rnacentral:snRNA from 1 species
AUGCUAGCUUCAGCAGCACAUAUACUAAAAUUGGAACAAUACAGAGAGAUUAGCAUGGCCCCUGUGCAAGGAUGACAUGUACAUUCGUGAAGUGUUCCAUAUCUUG